UAUUUCACAAAAUACGGCUCAGUUAUAAUUGAAUCGUCAGUAGCUUCGGAUCACUUUCAAUCGUUUCCCUUUUUCACAAUCAUACAAAUAAAAGCACUAAACAGAGACAAAAAGGAGAGCAAGACAAAAAUAAGAAACAACCGAGGAAAGCAAAGCAAGUGAAACGGAGAGAAAGAACUUUCAUUUUCAAUGUCAAGCAACAAUAACAACAAACAGAAUGUCUGCCGGUUGCGGGAGUCGUUUUGUGAAGAGAGAGCUAAAAACAGAGAGCGGGACUAAGAAAAAGAAUGAGAGAAGAGCUUGGCGUGGAAUAUUUUUAUGCGCUUAUGGUUUUUGUUUUUAGCGGGAGAGCGCUUUUUUCGCCGCAUGGCAAUCGAAACACUGCCACAUCGCACCCUCGUUCACGCCAUGUGGUGCAACCAGCCGC